rnacentral:tRNA from 1 species
AUUUAUAUGACAUACCUAAUAUUUUCUCUUCCAAAGAAAGAGUUAAUUUAUUAUUAUAUAAAUA